UUUGAGAUGGGGGUGAGAAUGUGACGCCCCCAAAUUCGGGUACUUGAAACCCUUAUUCAGUGCUUCACGAUAUCAAACAUUCAACAUAAAAUAAACUUAAACUUAGUAAAGUUAUUACAUCAAAGUGCUACUAAUCCCAGGUAUGUAGACCUUUAAAUGUUCAUUACAUGAUAGUUUAAUAUUUACAAACACGUAAACUAUCUAUUACAUCCAAUCCCAGCUAAUCUGUUACUUUUUCUUUCCCUUUGUCUUUUCCAGACCCUUCUACCCGAGUCUGCUCAGCUGAAAAUAUUUAUAAUAAAACAAGUAUGAGCAUUUAAUUGCCCAGUAAGUAAUAGCAUUCUUUAAGGCUCAACAAGAAAUAAAUAUUUUCUUUGAAGCAUGCUUUGACAGUGAAUCAAAACUGUAAAGCAAUAAAUCUUGAAUCAUUCACAUUUCUGGAUUAUCAUAUCAAUAUUGAAUAACUGAGAGGUCUUAAGACCAUGAACAUAUUUUUCUUUUUUUGAAAAGGUUCAAUCAGAAAUUUUAUCAGAUGAACCGUCUUAACUUACGAGCACGUAGGGUGAUCAGCCCUUUAUGCCCAGUAUUGAUCGAUACUAUCUUUUUCAGAACAAUUUUCAUGUUCUACAUCACCACUCCCAGAGUGCAAUAAAAAUAUCCCAUUUAAGGGUAUGUUCAUUCUCAGUUUUAGAUUCCAACUACAACAAUAUAGCUGGACAGCUUAAAUUAUGGCACAAUAAUAUUUCAAGACUUAAUAUAAAGAAAUUGAAAUAUUUUACAUCUGUGUCUGGCCAGAAGGAAUGGCUCAGAUUUCUAUACAACCUGCUCAUGCAUAUGAUAAUAUCUUACCCAAUCUUUUGAAGCUGAUUGGAAUAAAAAGAUUAUUCAAUCUUAUAAUAUUCAUAAAUAAAGAAAGACAGUUCAGAAUUUAGAGAACCUGUCCACAUAUGAAUAAUCUUAAAAUACUUGCUCAAUAAAGAGUAAGAUUUAGAUACUUGCCUCAUUUGUAGACUAUUGGUACAAUUUCAGUUUAACUUGUGUGUUCUCACAGAUCCUACACAAUUAUUUGUAUUCACAAACAUAUUAGCCAAUUAGCCAAGUCAUACAACUUGCAUUAUUAUUCAUAUAUCACACAGUCACAGUGAUCAUGUUUUUAGUUCAUGUUCUAUAUUUGAGAUAUUUCUAUACAUUUUUCAAAUAUUUCAUCCAUGUUCUUACAACAACCAUUUCUUUCUUUUAUAGGGUCUAACAUAAUUUCUGUUCAUGAACUUUUCAUGAUUUUAGUUCAUACUCCUUUUACUUCUUUUCUUUGCCAUAAGUAUACUUUGCAAUCUUCUUUAUAACUUAGGUAUUCAAGGUGAAUACAUAAGGUAUUUCAUGUAUUAAGUAUGAUUGUAUAUCAACACAACCCUCUCUGGCCUUAACAGUUUCAACAGCCCACUAAUAUGGCCUUGCUUGGGAUUCAUUGCUUUAAUUCCCUACACCUUUAAUCCCCUUGCAUUAAGCUUUGGAUAACAUGCAGAUGGUAUAUUCAAUUAAUACCAUAACACAUUAGCUAGGCAACUUACAGAAGUUUAGAAGUACUAACUAAGAGCUAAAAAAACUUCUAAACUUAAUCACUACCAUAACAGUUUUUUUUUGGUUGCUAGCUAGGACAACUGCUGCUACUUAAGAGCAGCUGCCCUUACCUUUCAAUCUUAGCUUUGUUAAUUAUUCUUUUGUUUUCCCCUAUUUGACCAAGUGUGUAGUUUCCUUUAAUGCACUAACAGCUCCUUAUCAUUCCUUCAUACUAACAGCCAUUUAUGCUUGGCUUUGUGAGAUCUAUUCAAUUUAAUGUGGCUUUGGUUGGGCUCAGUUUCAACUGAGUCUAACAAUCUUUACACUACAUUGGUAGUUAGCUAAGGCUUUCUGCCAUUGCUAACUAACAGCAGCUAUGCCCCUUCUUUGUUCAAUAUUUAAUGUUAAGAUAGCUUACAAGAUGUACUAACAUAUAAGUUAUACAUACCCACAACAUUAGUAGGUAUAAGGUAAACCAACAGGCAUUUAGUUGCUACAACAGUUUCUUUGCUGCUGCUCAUAGGUAGCAACAAAGUUUUCUCCUCCUUCACUUACAUUCUAAAUCUGCCAACACACUAUAAAGUCUAUACAUAUUUGCAACAUAAACUUAAACUAUACUGGAUGAUUAGCUUUUUAAAAUUACAACCUUCAAUCAACAUGAUUACCCAAACUGCUUUAGCAGUCAUUUACUAUCACCUGUUACUCGACAUUGAUGGCUAUUGCCAUCGGAUACUUCAUUCUUCUACUGCUAUAGAAUAACAUCCCUAACCUCUUGCUUUAGGUAACAUAUUUUCUUCAUGUAAUCAAAAUUAGUCUACACAAACUGUUGUAACAGUUAUACGUUGCUACCUAUUGCUGCCACUUCUUUUCUUUGAUCUAUGCUUUGCUACACCUUUAUUUUCACAUUCUUUGUUUGGUUGAGUUGAAUUUUGAAGCUACCAUAGAUUAGACAUUCACUUAAUAUUGAGAUAUAUUAGUUGGGCAAGUUUGGUUAGUUCAAAUGGGUUGACCGAGAGCCAAGGAAGACCCCAGUUAUUGCCUAACAUGUGACUGCUGUUGCCCCACUGCUGCUGCUGCUGAGCAGCAGCCCUGCUCCCUUUCUUUCCCAACUCUAGAAUAUUUUUCCCCAGAUUGCUAUGGUAGCAGCUCGCAACUGCUAGUUGUGUCAAUCACUGUUGUCAAGAACAGCAGCCCUAUAUCCCCAUUCAUCCAACUGCUGCUGUCGAGGCAGUAGCCUUGCACUUCACCACGCAAGAUUCAUUCCUUAUGGUAGCUCACAAAUUAUAGCAACAUGUAACUUAUAUAAACCCAAGACAUUAGCCUAUGUGAGUUAAACCAAAAGAAGUUUCUAAUUUAACAACUGAGAGCUUUAAAAGAGCCUCAGCCCAACGCCUCCCACUGCCACUGCUGCUGCUACAGGCAGCAGCUCUGUGGCUAACAUAGCUAGUUUGCUAAUUUCACGUUUCUAAUCUAUAUGCUUGUUUAUAACCAUUUUUAAAUAUGUAACACAGAACAUAUGGAAGUAUUUUAUGCAUAUAAAACCCCUCCAUUUCAGCCUUAGUAUGCUGCCAAAUCAGUACCCAAAGUUGUCUCAAUAUGAUAAAAUCUCAACUAUUAACUUUAGCCUAAAAUGUGCACAGCGUUUAAGUUUAACAUGCUAACAAACUUUAAUUAACAUCACAUACGAUAACUAGAUUAGGCCCAUGCUUUACCUUGUUCUAAUAUUCAAUUUUUAACCAAAAAGUUCUUUUAGAACUUUUAUCGAACACUUGGUAGGCAUAGUUUCAGGCUAUCAGUUUCACAACCACUUGUUUAUGUCACCAACCCAUUUCAUUCUCCUUAUAUCUCCUCAGCCCAACCUAAACCCCUUUGUUCUAACUCAGCCCACAGCAGUCAAAUACACAGUAAAGUUCAUAUCUAAUCAACGAAUUAGUAGCUAGUUAGUUCAUGCUACCAUUAUACAAUCACAUUAGACUCAAAUUGAUGCAAUAUAAACUGAACAUAGACUUCAAACAUAGCACAGUUGCUUAGAACAUUAGUUAGCUAGUAAGAAUACCUUUUGUUUUGAUUUCCUUCUUUAGUCCUUAAUCUCCAAUGUCCUCUACUAUAAUUGUGUUCUCCUUUAAUUUACUCAAACGUUUGCCCCAGCACAAUCAUGAACUUCAUUCAUCCAGGCUCUAGCUAAGUGAGGAAAUCAGGAUUUUCGUAUGAGAGAGUUUGACGGGUGAACAGGGAGAUAAGAAGAGUAACCUUGCCUUAUAUAAACUCAAUCCUUACUCCUCACGAAUUGUACCCGCUCUGCCAUUAAUAGGCAUGUUGAGUUUGCAAAGCUAUCCUAACACAUUCAUGCCAGCUCCUGCUAAUACCACUUGAAGGUUACGCCUUCAAUUACACUUCCCAGCUCAUGCUAAUCCUUUUUAAUUGCUAAGUUUUAAUCUAAAGCUGUGUUUGGUUAAAAUAACCAAUUAUCUUCCUUUCCGUACAUAUCACAUAGCAAAAACUACAUUUUAACUAUACUGAAU
rnacentral:lncRNA from 1 species